UCUAAAGGCACGCGCUACACUGCAACUACCAUAUAUCACCAACCACCGUGUCCUCCCCCUUCUCUCUCUCAAAGAUUUCUCUCAUUUUCUCGUGACUCUUGCUCCUCCAGCAAAACGUGUUCUUGGGUUUCGCUUCUGGUUUUUAAUUUUCGCAUCGUCCGUUGCAGACUCUGUUUUUCUUUUUUCUAAUGGAUUAUGAGGCAAUGUGAGCUUGUUGAACCCGAGAAAUGUGUUAUUAUUUCUGUUAAUUUGGAAUGUGUUUUCUCAGGAAAUGAUUUGAAGCUUCUCUUGAUCUCUCUUCAGAGAUUCAGCUUCUGUUUCCAUUUUUCAGUGUCAUCGUUUUUGGAUGGGAAACUAUACACAUUUUUAUUUUGACUUGUUUGGCUUUUCAAGCUGGUUAUGCGAGCUCCCCAUUUUUCCAAUUGAUUGUUUAAUGGUGUUUG
rnacentral:misc_RNA from 1 species